CAGUCGCCGCGGUAAUACGUAGGUGGCAAGCGUUGUCCGGAAUUAUUGGGCGUAAAGGGCUCGCAGGCGGUUUCUUAAGUCUGAUGUGAGAGCCCCCGGCUCAACCGGGGAGGGUCAUUGGAAACUGGGAAACUUGAGUGCAGAAGAGGAGAGUGGAAUUCCACGUGUAGCGGUGAAAUGCGUAGAGAUGUGGAGGAACACCAGUGGCGAAGGCGACUCUCUGGUCUGUAACUGACGCUGAGGAGCGAAAGCGUGGGGAGCGAACAGGAUUAGAGACCCCAGUAGUCCCUGUCUCUUAUAC
rnacentral:rRNA from 1 species